rnacentral:rRNA from 1 species
AGAGUUUGAUCCUGGCUCAGGAUGAACGCUGGCUGUGUGCCUAAUACAUGCAUGUCGAGCGAAGGUAGCAAUACCUUAGCGGCGAAUGGGUGAGUAACACGUACUCAACGUACCUUUUAGAUUGGGAUAGCUAACGGAAACGUUGGAUAAUACCAAAUACUUAUUAGUUUCGCAUGAAACUAAUAUAAAAGGAGCCUUUAAAGCUCCGCUGAAAGAUCGGGGUGCGCAACAUUAGCUAGUUGGUGAGGUAACGGCCCACCAAGGCGAUGAUGUUUAGCGGGGUUGAGAGACUGAACCGCCACACUGGGACUGAGAUACGGCCCAGACUCCUACGGGAGGCAGCAGUAGGGAAUAUUCCACAAUGAGCGAAAGCUUGAUGGAGCGACACAGCGUGCAGGAUGAAGGUCCUAUGGAUUGUAAACUGCUGUGGUAAGGGAAGAAAAAGUAACUUAGGAAAUGAAGUUACCUUGACGGUACCUUAUUAGAAAGCAACGGCUAACUAUGUGCCAGCAGCCGCGGUAAUACAUAGGUUGCAAGCGUUAUCCGAAAUUAUUGGGCGUAAAGCGUCUGUAGGUUGUUUGUUAAGUCUGGCGUCAAAUUUUGGGGCUCAACCCCAAACCGCGUUGGAUACUGGCAGACUAGAGUUAUGUAGAGGUUAGCGGAAUUCCUUGUGAAGCGGUGAAAUGCGUAGAUAUAAGGAAGAACACCAUUAUGGCGAAGGCGGCUAACUGGGCAUACACUGACACUGAGAGACGAAAGCGUGGGGAGCAAACAGGAUUAGAUACCCUGGUAGUCCACGCCCUAAACGAUGAUCAUUAGCUGAUGGAGAAUUCGUCGGCGCAGCUAACGCAUUAAAUGAUCCGCCUGAGUAGUACGUUCGCAAGAAUAAAACUUAAAGGAAUUGACGGGGAUCCGCACAAGCGGUGGAGCAUGUGGUUUAAUUUGAAGAUACGCGUAGAACCUUACCCACUCUUGACAUCUUCUGCAAAGCUAUAGAGAUAUAGUGGAGGUUAACAGAAUGACAGAUGGUGCAUGGUUGUCGUCAGCUCGUGUCGUGAGAUGUUCGGUUAAGUCCUGCAACGAGCGCAACCCUUAUCCUUAGUUACUACCAUUAAGUUGAGGACUCUAAGGAGACUGCCGGAGUAAUCCGGAGGAAGGUGGGGACGACGUCAAAUCAUCAUGCCUCUUACGAGUGGGGCUACACACGUGCUACAAUGGACAGUACAAAGAGAAGCAAAAUGGUGACAUCAAGCAAACCUCAAAAAACUGUUCUCAGUUCGGAUUGAAGUCUGCAACUCGACUUCAUGAAGUUGGAAUCGCUAGUAAUCGUAGAUCAGCUACGCUACGGUGAAUACGUUCUCGGGUCUUGUACACACCGCCCGUCAAACCAUGGGAGCUGGUAAUGCCCGAAGUCGGUUUAUAAAGAAACUGCCUAAGGCAGGACUGGUGACUGGGGUUAAGUCGUAACAAGGUAUCCCUACGAGAACGUGGGGAUGGAUUACCU